rnacentral:rRNA from 1 species
UACGGGGGGGGCAAGCGUUGUUCGGAAUUACUGGGCGUAAAGGGCUCGUAGGCGGCCAACUAAGUCGGACGUGAAAUCCCCAGGCUUAACUUGGGAACUGCGUCCGAUACUGGAUGGCUUGAAUCCGGGAGGGGGAUGCGGAAUUGCCGGUGUAGUGGUGAAAUGCGUAGAGAUCGGCAGGAACACCCGUGGCGUAAGCGGCCACCUAGCCCGUUGCUGACGCUGAAGCGCGACAGCGUGGGGAGCGAACUGG